rnacentral:lncRNA from 1 species
GUAAACAUUUAAUUAACAUCUUUUUCUUUUUCACCUUAUUUUUAAUUGACAAAUAGUAGUUGUGUAUAGCUGCGGUUAAUUAACUUUUUUUACACCCAGACUCAUUUCCCACCCUGCAGGGAAGACAUGUAAUCAUUGGUAACAUCAGUCUUCUUCUUCAUGGAAAAAGUAGAGCUGAAAAAAAACUUCACGAUCCAGUGCUUUAACAUGAGCUUUGUUGCUUAGAAGUAAAUGAAAACAGGUUGAGAUUUGUGUAUGUGUUUCUUAGGUUUAAGAUUCUUAACUGCAUAGUGUACAGAAUCACUGCUUAUUCUUCCUGGGCAGAAUGGCAUGGUGUGGAUGUUUUCAAGAGAGUGUCCAUCUUUUUCAUGUCUUCUCUUUCAUAGUUGAAGAUUAAAACACCAAAUGCAAAAUUGACUGUCAGAACUUGUCCAGAGACAAACAAUAAAAGCAGAGGGGGAAAAAAAUGAGCCAGUAGGAUUUCAGAGGCGUUGACAACAUACAUGGACUGCUGACAGGUUUAUUCUUGUACAUUUCUGCUGACAGGCUUAUUCUUGAACUUGAGUUUUUCUGAUUUAAUUGCCGAAGUAGAUGAGAGUGUUCAUACUGCCUGUAGAAAUGAGACUAGGCCCUUCUGUGAAAAGUAGAACAGUAAACUUGCAAUGUAUUGUGCAGUGGCUUUUUCAUGGAGAUUUGGGCCACAGUUCUAAGUAAAACAAAUGUUCUUCUUUAAAAUCUGAGCUGGGCGGGACGAGGUCGGACGCGUGAGUGAGUGCGCGAGGGCUGCCCGGCGGGGCGUGGGGCGGGGCAAAGUUCGGAGGGGCCGGGGGCGCACGGUCCGGGCGGGGCGGCCGCGCCUGGGGGCCUCCGCCCUCCUGUGCGUCCCCACCCACCGGCCGCGUCCUUCCCGCCGUCCGUCUUCCCCGCCGGCUGGGUCUCCCCGGCUCCACGCGCUCCGGCCCCCGCGGGGGCCCUGCCGUCCUGGCCCUGGCCUCGGUCACGCGGGCCGCCCGGCCGGGCUCCUCCCGCAGAGGCGCCCAGGUGGACGGGGCGCCAGAGCCCGGGUCUGCACCCCGCGCCGCGCCGCUGUGCUGUCCGUCCUUCAAGGACAAGGACAAGGUUUUUCUCCGUGACGCUGCUGUCCCUUGCGCAUUCGCCUGGCCGCGGCGUCCCUGGCGCGCGCCCGAGGAAGCCUCGCGGGAGUGGGCUGAGCAAGGGCUCGGUGCUGCUAGCUCCUGGGCUGCUUCCGUGCUGGGAACAAGCCGGGGCACGCUCAGGCGGAGGGCGGGGUUCCGCGGAGCCCGGGUGCCACAGGUCUUAGGGCGCCGCUCGUGACGGGGUCGGACGGGGCGGGACGCACUGGGGUGAAGGAAGGGGCCCCAGCCCCCGAACCGGUGGGCAGGCGCUGUCCUCUCCCAGCCCGGGCCUUGGGGGCGGGAACUGAGGAGCUGCUGGCCGCAGACCUCACACCUGCGACCCGAUGGCCAGGGAGCGCAGGCCUGGGCUCGCUCAGGGGAGGAGGGG